GAUGAACGCUGGCGGCGUGCUUAACACAUGCAAGUCGAACGGUGAACGAGGGAGCUUGCUCCCUCCGGAUCAGUGGCGAACGGGUGAGUAACACGUGAGCAAUCUGCCCUGGACUCUGGGAUAAGCGUUGGAAACGACGUCUAAUACCGGAUACGAGACGUGAAGGCAUCUUCAACGUCUGGAAAGAACUUCGGUCCAGGAUGAGCUCACGGCCUAUCAGGUAGUUGGUGAGGGAACGGCUCACCAAGCCUACGACGGGUAGCCGGCCUGAGGGGGUGACCGGCCACACUGGGACUGAGACACGGCCCAGACUCCUACGGGAGGCAGCAGUGGGGAAUAUUGCACAAUGGGCGCAAGCCUGAUGCAGCAACGCCGCGUGAGGGACGACGGCCUUCGGGUUGUAAACCUCUUUUAGCAGGGAAGAAGCGAAAGUGACGGUACCUGCAGAAAAAGCACCGGCUAACUACGUGCCAGUAGCCGCCGUAACAC
rnacentral:rRNA from 1 species